GCCCGUUUGACUUGUGCUCCAAAGCAUUAGCGUCCCACAAGAGAGGGAGGCAAAGGCAGCAAGCACCGCCAAAGGGUCAUCGCAUGUGCCUUGACAUCCAGAGGAUAGAAAAGAAAAGAAGAUAAGAAGCCCACAUCACUGCAGUCUAAAGGUCUAUCAAAGUGUCAACAACCAAAAAAACAGAACUUCGUAUUCCUCGACUACAAAUAAAAUCUCUUCUUUCUGUUUCAACGGAGCUCAGGUACAUCAAUCUCCAUCCACCCUCUCAGAUCCAACAGCUAUCAUCUCGUCAUGCCAUUGAUCACAUCCAUCAUCCAAUCAGAUUCUAGUCCUCGUGUAUAAAAGUAAAAACCUCAAAAGAAGGACUAUAAUACUGUUGUUGGUAGAGAGAAUAUUAUUGGACAGGAUUUGUUAGUUGACGUAAGCGUCCUCAUCUUCUUUGCCUUUUAAGAAUCAGUCAGCUCCAAGGUUUCUUGUGCUUUAUACCGACCCGUUCGCUCCCAGAAGUUCUUCAUCUUAAUUGCGUCGAUUUCUCUCUGGUUUUCUUAUUAAGAGGGGAGAAGGGAAAAGAUGAUGGAGCUGCUUUUGUUGGGUUGCACAGGAGUUGUGGUGUUUCUCCAUGGAGCUAAUUUCUUCUUCCAUAUUCUCUCCCAUCACUUUGCCUCUCGUUCCCUCAGUUUCCUGGGAUUUGCUGGAUGAUAAAGCAAACAAGAAAGAAAGUAGAGAUGACUUGUUAAUUUCGUCAAGCAAACUUCUAAUGGUAGCUCGCACCUGCAGUCACGUUCGUUCUGUGGAUUUCUUUUUUUAUCAGUAGCAAGAGAUAGGUUGUAUAUAUUGUAUAAGAGCCAUUUAUAGUCCUUGAAAUAAAUGGAGAAUUGUAUUUGUAUCAAAUUCAGAUCCAAAUUUAUUUCCAACGGUCAGACAUUGUCAUAUGUAUGAACCUUUAAUCCAUUUCUUGUUUGGUUUUA